CAUUGAAACACCUGUUCUCAUGCGACCACUGAAGUUAAGCAACAUCAAGCCUGGUCAGUACCUAGGUGGGUGACCGCUUGGGAAUGCCAGGUGCUGUAAG